rnacentral:rRNA from 1 species
AUAGCGUAUAUUAAAGUUGUUGCAGUUAAAAAGCUCGUAGUCGACUUUCGGCCUCAGCCAACCGGUCCGCUCACUGAGUGUGUACUGGAUUUGGUUGGGGCUUUACCUCCUGGUGAGCUGGCAUGGCCUUUAUUGGUUGUGUCAGGGAACCCGGAAUUUUACUUUGAAUAAAUCAGAGUGUUCAAAGCAGGCAUGUUUGCCCGAAUGUUACAGCAUGGAAUAAUAGAAUAGGAUGUGUGCCUCUAUUGGUCUUUUAGAGGCACCUUAAUGAGAAAUAGGGGCGGCUCGGGGGCAUUUGUAUUCAAUUGCUAGAGGUGAAAUUCUUGGAUUUAUUGAAGACAAACUAUUG